rnacentral:lncRNA from 1 species
GCUCAGCAGUGUCCCCAUGCCACCUGAGGGGGACANGGGGGUUGGGACAUAGGGACAUGUGUGCAUGGGGACACGGGGGCAUGGGGACAUGGGGACAUGGGAACAUGGGGGUUGGGACAUAGGGACGUGUGUGCAUGGGGACACGGGGACAUGGGGACAUAGGGACAUGGGGACAUAGGGAUGUGGAGACAUGGGGACACGGGGACAUGGGGACAUGGGGACACAGGGACAUGGGGACAUAGGGGCAUGGGUGCAUGGGUACAUGGGGAUGUGGGGAUGUGGGGACGUGGGGACAUGAGGACAUGGGGACAUAGAGACAUAGGGGCGUGGGGACAUGGGGACACAGGGACUUGGGGACAUGAGGACAUAGGGACAUGGGGACAUGGGGACACGGGGACAUGGGGACACUGGGACGUGGAGACAUAGGGAUGUGGGGACAUGGGGACAUGGGGACACGGGGAUAUGGGGACAUGGGGACAUAGGGACACGGGGACAUGGGGAUGUGGGGAUGUGGGGACAUGGGGACAUGAGGACAUGGGGACACGGGAACAUAGGGACAUAGAGACAUGGGGACAUGGGGACACGGGGACACAGGGACAUGGGGACAAGGGGACAUGGGGACAUAGGGACAUAGAGACAUGGGGACAUGGGGACACGGGGACAUGGGGACACAGGGACACAGGGACAUGGGGACACGGGGACAUGGGGACACUGGGACGUGGAGACAUAGGGAUAUGGGGACGUGGGGACAUGAGUGCAUGGGGAUACAGGGACAUGGGGACACAGGGAUAUAGGGACACUGGGACAUGGGGACACAGGGACAUGGGGACAUGGGGACAUGGGGACAUGCAUGGCACCACAGCACCGUGUGAGCUGAGCCAGCUCUGUCUGCCCACAGCUGCUGGUCGGCUACAGGUCCUGGCGUCACCCUGCCUGCUACAUCACCCGUGUGGACAAGGACAACUUCCCGGGGCUGGACGCUGUCACCGAGACCUUCCAGCGCCGGCAGGACGAGGACAAGGUUGGGGACAAGGCCGUGCCCCUGGCUGACCGCUCCAUCCUGGGCACCACCAUCAACAUCCUCUGCAGCGCCGUCCCCGUGUUCUGGGCAUAGCGGGAUGGGACAGCGACAUGGGGGUGGCACUGUCCCCCACUGUCCCCUUCCAGGCUGGAAUGUCUGCUCCUCGUCCCCACCCUGGGGACAGCCACCCCGCCCAUUGUCACUUGGCACCGCAUGCUCCAGCCAUAAAAAAAGUGGGAUUUGCUUCGGGGUUUGCUUCUGUCUACAAAGUAAAGGCUGUGUCACCGCCUCUGAGUGUGCUCUUGCCCUU